rnacentral:rRNA from 1 species
AUUGAACGCUAGCGGCAGGCCUAACACAUGCAAGUCGAGCGGAGCGGCGGACGGGUGAGUAAUGCAUCGGAAUCUGCCUGGUAGUGGGGGAUAACUACCGGAAACGGGCGCUAAUACCGCAUACUAUCAGAUGAGCCUAGGUCGGAUUAGCUAGUUGGUGGGGUAAAGGCCCACCAAGGCGACGAUCCGUAACUGGUCUGAGAGGACGAUCAGUCACACUGGAACUGAGACACGGCCCAGACUCCUACGGGAGGCAGAAGUGGGGAAUAUUGGACAAUGGGGGAAAGCCUGAUCCAGCCAUGCCGCGUGUGUGAAGAAGGCCUUCGGAUUGUAAAGCACUUUAAGUUGGGAGGCGGUACCAACAGAAUAAGCACCGGCUAACUUCGUGCCAGCAGCCGCGGUAAUAC